rnacentral:other from 2 species
GUCUCUCUGGUCUGUUUGCCAGUCAUAACACGUCCCGAGCCGAUAAUACCAACCAGGAAACUCCUCGCAGGUGUUGGAGUGCAUGUCUGCCUAGUAGCAGAAAGCCCAAUACAUCUCAGUAGUUUCCACCCUGACCGUUAACGGUCCGGGCAAACGUGGCAGCGGCAGCUUGGGGAGACU